rnacentral:rRNA from 1 species
UACGUAGGGGGCAAGCGUUGUCCGGAAUCAUUGGGCGUAAAGAGCGUGUAGGCGGCCCGAUAAGUCCGCUGUGAAAGUCCAGGGCUCAACCCUGGAAUGCCAGUGGAAACUGUCGGGCUAGAGUCCGGAAGAGGCGAGUGGAAUUCCCGGUGUAGCGGUGAAAUGCGCAGAUAUCGGGAGGAACACCAAUGGCGAAGGCAGCUCGCUGGGACGUUACUGACGCUGAGACGCGAAAGCGUGGGGAGCAAACAGG